CGUUAAUUAGCUCAUCAAUACCAAUUGUUUCAAGCUUUUCCGUAAGAGACCAGAGAACAAACACUUAAGACAACAUUAGUCAUCCAGUGCCGGUCUGUUCUCAGUACUGAACUCUCCCGGAAACACGGAGACACCAGACAGCAGAUAGCCAGCUAUUUAUGGACACUUGGUUUCCCUGAAUGUAUACAGACAGUGAAACGUUCUUUUCACUUUUUAAAAUAAGGCUAAAAAUAGAAAUCCAAGCCUACGCAAUGCACAAGAACAGACAGUCAAGCAGACUGGACCAGAGGCCAGUUCUCUAACCUCUGCCCACCGCUCCGGAAGAUCACAGCCCACAACCUUCCCGGUUUCGCUGCUGUUUUGAUACAGGCUCCCCACAGUGUACCCAGAGCAGAGCUUGAACUCGCAUUCCUCCUGCCUCAGCCUGCUGAGUACUGUGACUGUUUUGCAGAGAUCUCCAUAGAUAACAGGGAAUCGCGCGCCUUGGCCUCACUUUCAAAUCGCCUGCCUCCCGUAGGUUGAAACCGAAAACCCCUUCAAUCCUCGACUGCCCGCGGGUGUUGCCUUUUGGACUUGUGCUACCGUGCAGGCCCUCUGCCCUGCCCUCUGCACAGAGUGCAAAGCGAGAGUCACGCAACAACAGGACACCUUCAGUAACUCCGGCGUCAGUGAGUUUGAACAGGAUGGGAUAUUUUGAUCAUAAUUGCAACCGCUGCCCCCCACCCCCAGUCGAUGCGUGCCUUUGCAGUCCGCACAAUCAAGCGUCAAGUCUGAUAUUUACUAUUCCCAUUUUACAGUUCAGAAAAUGGAGGCACAGAGCAGAGAUAUGCAGCAAGGAAGGGUACUGGCUGCUCUUGCAGAGGACCCAGGUUCAAUUCCCAGCGCCCACAGGACGGCUCCCAACCAUCUGUCACUGCACUUUCAGGUGGAAUCCAACGCCCCCUACUGGUGGCCUCAGGCACUGCACGAAUGUGGUGCAAAGACACACAUGGCAGGCAAAACACCACCAGCCAGCGAAUGACAGAAGUCUAGUUUCACAGCACGGCUAAAAGCACUUCCUACAGCAAUGAGAGAGGAAGUGGGCACAAGUCACACCCGUAUCCCCUACCCCUAGCCCAGAAGCUGGCUCCAAUGGAUAACCACUUGCAAAAGAAAAAGUUAAGUUUUCUCUAGCAACUGGCCAACACAAAAGAAACUCUAUGGUAUUUUUGGAGGUGUUUUGUUGUUGGUUCUUUGUUUGUUGUUUCAUAAUGCUUUCUCUGGGCAGGUUUUUUUCCCCGUGUUUUCUUGUCCUACAAAUCUUCUGCUUGUGUUUUGAGGUGAUUUCUAUGCAUUCUCAUGUGUGCUUUUCUGUGUCUAUGUGCGUUUCUUGGGCUCUUCGUUGGCUCUUGGUUUUUUUGUUUUGUCAUAUUCAGGUUUAUUUGCUUUUAUUUUUAUCUUCUUUUAUGAUUAUUUAUUUAUUUUCUUGGAUGCCUGUUUGUUUUCUAAUGAGAAUGUGGGGGAGGUAGGGAGACUCUAGGAGGAGUUGAGGGAAGAAGGACCCAUAACAAGAAUAUACUGUUUAAAAAAAAAAUCCAGGGGUUGGGGAUUUAGCUCAGUGGUAGAGCGCUUGCCUAGGAAGCGCAAGGCCCUGGGUUCGGUCCCCAGCUCCGAAAAAAAGAACCAAAAAAAAAAAAAUCCAUCUUUAAUUUGGAAUAAAACUCUUCCUGCUCUUGUAGAAGACUUGCAUUUUCAAGUGUGUGGAGAACAUAUUGGUUGUUCCAGCUCCAGGGGAUCUGACGCCCUCUACUGGCAUCUGUGGGUACCUGCACUCACAUGCACAAACGCACACACAGACAUACACGCAACUAAGUAGCACUUUCACACACACACACACACACACACACACACACACACACACACACGCCCUUUAUUUUAUCCUUCGGGUUUCUGGACCACAAUUACUUCACAUUUCUGGGUGAUAGUGUUCUAAACUACCUUCCCACUGCUCUGGAAUCCUAACCAUCUGUUUUGUGUUCCUUCUCUGGUUUUAGUCUCAGCCGUUUUCUCAGAUCCCAGCCUCUUCUCGUCCUGGACCACAGCUCCCAUUUCCUACCUACAGUGUUGGUUCUUCUCCUUGUGGCCCUGGAUAGCCUCAAGAACAAGGCGUUACUGAAGAUCUAAGUGCCAGGUCCUCUCUACCUAUAGUCCAGACUGGCUGCAGGGGCACGAUCCGAUCCAGCCACACCAAACCCAAGUGUGAACUGGAAGAAGUGAGCUACCCGAGCCUGGCUUGAAGUUUAUACGUUAUGCCUUCGGGGAUCAUCUGCUAGAUAAGAGGGUUAUCUGGUCUUGAUGACCACUCGAGGAAUAGCACAUAAAUAAACCACUUAUUGACUGCGCUGAGGUAAUUUUCACUGCUUAACUACCUAGACUCCGAGUAAAUAGACAACGUGGCUUUAACAAACGCAGAGUAAGCGUUUUGGGAACUCAGUGCUCAACCACACCCUGCAAACUCCCUCAGCCUCAGACUUCCAAUCCUCCUGCCGGAGCCUCCUGAGUUCUGGCACAGCCCACAUGCACCGCCAUGCCCACUGAGUUGGUGACAAUAAUAGAAAUGACUUUGGGCGUUUUAUCAUAAAAUGUGUUAGCAUUUUAAGGUUCUUUUAUUUCUUGGAGAACCAGUAUUUUUCAAACAAGCAAUUUGCGGUGUUUGGAUCAGGUUUGGAUACAGAUCUUCUCCAAGCACAGAAUAAACCAACAGACGCCACAUCACCACGGAUGGAGGUGUACCUCCGAGGGAUCAGGCUCUGCAUCACGGUGAACCUACCUCCUACCAAGUUUUGCUUCAAUAUCAAAGAAAAAUCAAAUAACUGCUUUCGUGAGGCUGGAAAGAUGGUUCAGCUGUUAAGACAACACUUGCAGCGCACCCAAGUCUGGUCCCAGGUCCCAGCCUACAACUGCCCAAUCCAGGCUGAGAGGAUCUGACUCCCUUGGCUGGCCAUUGUGGGAACCUCCACUCAUGUGCACAAAAACCACAUAGAGUUAUGAGUGUGUGUGUGUGUGUGUGUGUGUGUGUGUGUGCGCGCGCGUGCGCACUUGUGUGUGUGUGUAUGCGUGUGGUAUGUGUGAUGUGUGUGUGUGUAUGUGUGUGGUAUGUGUGUGGUAUAUGUGUAGUAUGUGUGUGGUAUGUGUGAUGUAUGUGUGUGUGUAUGUGUUGUGUGUGGUAAGUGGGUGUGAUAUGUGUGUAUGGGGGUGGUAUGUGUGUGUGAUUGUGUGUAUGUGUAUAUUUAUAUGUGUGUGUGCUAUGUAUUGUAUGGGAUGUGUGUGGUAUGUGUGUGAUGUGUGUAUGGUAUAUGUGUGUGAUGUGUGUAUGUGUGUGGUAUGUGUGUAUGUGUGCAGUAUGUGUGUGUGGUAUGUGUGUGGUGUAUGUGUGGUAUGUGGGGGGGUAUGUGUGUGGUGUGUGUAUGUAUGUAUGUAUGUGUGUGUGUGGUAUGUAUGUGUGGUGUGUGUAUGUGUGUUUGGUGUGUAUGUGGUGUGUGUGUGUGUAUGUGUGUGUGGUACGUAUGUGUGGUGUGUGUAUGUGUGUUUGGUGUGUAUGUGGUGUGUGUGUAUGUGUGUGUGGUAUGUAUAUGUGGUGUGUGUGUAUGUGUGUGUGGUGUGUGUGUGUAUAUGUGUAUGUGGUGUGUGUGUGUGUAUGUGUGUGUGUGUGUAGUUUGUGUAUGUGUAUGUGUAUGUGUAUGUGUAUGUGUAUGUGUCUGUUCGUCCAUAUUUUCCUUGCAUGCUUCAACAGCACUCCCUGCAGCAGGCAGUAAAGACAGACACAGGAGAACACGUCUUCAGGAAGCCAGACUCGAGUGGUGAAUCCUGGCUCUCAAUUUGAUUGCAUUAAGAAGCACCCAAGGGAACAUAGACCUUGGCUAUGUCUGUGUGGGCCUUUCCUGCGGGGAGACGCAGCCUGAAUGUGGGUGGUACAUCCAUAGCUGGUGCUCGGAUGGACCAAAGGGAGAGUUAAGAAAGUCACUGACAGAGAAUUCUCUCUCUGCUCUCUGGUCUUUCAACCAUGAUGGGCUGACACCUCUGAAAAUGGGAGCCAAAGGGAAUCCUUCGCCAUCUGUGAUGCUCAGACGUUUGUCACAACUGUGAUAAACUAAAGCAGUUUGUGAACAUAAGGCCAAGGCUCAUGCAAUCACAUACACACACACACACACACACACACACACACACACACACACACACACACGAAAUAAAGACAAAUUAACAGCCGGGUGUGGUAGUGCACACCUUUCAUCCCAGCACUUGGGAGGCAGAAGCAGGCGGAUCCCUGUGAUUUCAAGGACAGCCUGGUCUACAGAGUGAGUUUUAGGACAACCGGGGCUCUAUAGAGAGACUCUGUCUGGAAGGGAAAAAAAAAAGAUAAAUGAAUUUUAAAAAAAAACUUUAAAAAUUAAUUAACCUUUUACAUUUGUAUUUAUUAAUUGUUAAGAUUUAUUUUGUUUUCAAUUUAUAUGUAUCCUGUGUGCUCAUGGUCUGUAUGCUGGCACACCGUAGGUAUGCCAUGUCAGUAUAACUGCCUGAACCCUGUUGUCUGUGAAGGCGGAAGAGGGCAGCCAGUCCCCCAGAGGUGCAGACAGGCAGUCGUGCUCUGCCUGCCGAGAGUGUUGGGAGCUACAUAUGGGUCCUCUUAAUGGCCGAGGCCUCUGUCUCCUCAGCCCUAAAUGUAUUAUAUUUUAUAUGUAAUAUACUAAAACACGAUACAGGAAGUAAAUAUAUAGUCCAUACAUCUAAACUUCCCUAGAGGUCUAAGAAAAUUCAAAAGUCCUAAGACAUUAUAGUUUCCAAACUAUUGUCUUAAAGCAUUCUCUGGUGGUCGGUAAGCUUUGGUCAAAUUCUAGCAGCGAAAAUUGUCUAAGAAGCAUGAUAAUUUUGACACGGAAUAACCACAUUUAGGCAAACUCGGUCAUUGUCAGGAACAUUGUGUUUUCUCUCAACUGUGGCUCCUAGAUUCUAGAGGGUCUAGGGGACUAGUAGGAGGCAAAGGGGAAGGAGGAGGGAAAGGGGGUUGAAUGUAUAAAGUGUACGUAUGUGUGUAUAUAUAUAUUUGUAUUUUUAUUAUAUUAUGUAUUAUUCAUAAUAUAUUUAUAUAUGUGUGUAUAUAUAUUUAUAUUUAUUUGACCUCAUGUGGCAUAGUACCAUGGACAAUGAACAGACAUAAUGGACUCUUUAAAGCCUGCACUGCUGAGUAUUUAAGACACAAGCAAAACGUAACUGUGCUCUGUGUUUAAACACAGGGUGAACAGGAAAUAUAAUCCAAUGGCCCUGAGUCCUUUCCACCCACUGUACGCUUUUGCAUCUCCAUCUGGAUGAGACCCAACUCCAGAAUCUUUCUUUUUAAUAUAACCCCACCCUGUGAAAGUGUACUCCAAAUGGAGUCCUUGUCAUCCAGCCAUUAAACAAAACAAAAAUACACACACAUACAUGCAUUUAUAUAUACACACAUACAUACGUACAUAUAUACCUAUGCAUAUAUGAAUGCACAUACAUACAAGUAUAUAAACAAAUACAUAUAUAUGCACACAAAUAUACAUGCAGGCAUACAUACAUACAUACAUACAUAUAUAUUCAUACAAAUAUACAUGCAUACAUAUAUACAUUCACACAUAUACAUUCAUAAAAUUAUAUGCACAUACAUAUAUGUAUAUACAUACAUGCAUGCAUGCAUACAUACAUACACACACACAGCUAGGAGCUAUGAAGACCAGGACCUCAGGCAUAUGUCCCUGAAAGUGAGAACUGUCAAGAACCCUUCACAAAUGACUCUGCAAACCAUGACCUGCACAAAAGCCAUUGCAAACACACACGCGCACACACACACACACACACACACACACUACUCACGCACGCACGCAUGCAUGCGUGUACGCACACACUUCCAACAAGGACCUCUACAGCUAGUUUCAUUUUGGACCAAGGCCGCCUUAGAUUAGAUCAGUGUGGCCAAGGAUUUCUCCUUCAAACCAGCUUAUACAAUUCUCUUUAUCUCACCUUCACAGCCUUUAAACACACCCAUCAUUCCCUAAGGUGUGUGCAUUCUCACUGCUACUCUCUUCGAUGGCUCGGAAAACAUGGAUGGCCUCUGAAGACUCUCUGGCUCUUCUUCAGAGAGAUCUGUAACACGGCCAGACACUAAACUCCUCAUCACGCCCACUGCCCAAAGGAUCCACCUCCUGCUCC